rnacentral:misc_RNA from 1 species
GUAUCGCCUAACACAAACUUUAUCGUAUGUUCAAAUUGACUUUUAAGUAUUAUCACAAAUCUUUUGUAUGGGAGUAUAGAAAAGUGUUGUUUUUAGACUUUUUCAGGAAAUUUUUUUUUUUUUUUUUUAGAAUUUUUCUCUCCGUAAGAACCAUCCUCGUACUUCAAGGAAUAUUUUUAAAAAAGAAUUAGCGAAAUCGGUCCAACCGUUCUCGAGUUUUGCGCUUAGCAACACAUUCAGCGACUCAUUUUUAUAUUAUAGAAGAGAUAUA